rnacentral:rRNA from 1 species
GAUGAACGCUAGCGGCAGGCCUAAUACAUGCAAGCCGAACGGCAAGAACUUUAGCAAUAGAGUUCCUAGAGUGGCGUAAGGGUGCGUAACACGUAUGCAAUCUGCCCGCAACAGGAGGAUAGCUCCCCGAAAGGGGAAUUAAGACUCCAUAAGAUCACAGGAAGGCAUCUGAGAGUGAUUAAACUACCAGGGGUUGCGGAUGAGCAUGCGCAUGAUUAGUUAGUUGGCGGGGUAACGGCCCACCAAGACGAUGAUCAUUAGGGGAACUGAGAGGUUGAUCCCCCACACUGGCACUGAGA